AGUGGAAUAACUGGGUCAAAUGGUGGUUCCAUUAAGUUUUCCAAGGAUUCUCCAUAUUACUUUCCAUAUUGUCUGUACCAGUUUGCAGUCCCACUAGCAAU
rnacentral:pre_miRNA from 1 species